rnacentral:misc_RNA from 1 species
UUUCCGUAGGUGAACCUGCGGAAGGAUCAUUAUCGUACAAAAUGUGAGGGGCGUGCGAGGGCUGUCGCUGACCCAAAAGUCGUGCACGCCCGAGUGUGUCCUCUUGCAGAAUAAUCCAUCUCACCCUUUGUGCAUCACGGCGUGGGCACCCUUCGGGAGCAUCUCGGAGGGGGGCUCGCGUUGUCACACAAACCCCCCUUUUAAAAGUGUAGAAUGACCACAUUUAUGCAAUCAAUACAACUUUCAACAACGGAUCUCUUGGCUCUC